rnacentral:rRNA from 1 species
AUUGAACGCUGGCGGCAGGCCUAACACAUGCAAGUCGAGCGGAUGAAGGGAGCUUGCUCCUGGAUUCAGCGGAGGACGGGUGAGUAAUGCCUAGGAAUCUGCCUGGUAGGGGGGGAUAACGUCCGGAAACGGGCGCUAAUACCGCAUACGUCCUGAGGGAGAAAGUGGGGGAUCUUCGGACCUCACGCUAUCAGAUGAGCCUAGGUCGGAUUAGCUAGUUGGUGGGGUAAAGGCCUACCAAGGCGACGAUCCGUAACUGGUCUGAGAGGAUGAUCAGUCACACUGGAACUGAGACACGGUCCAGACUCCUACGGGAGGCAGCAGUGGGGAAUAUUGGACAAUGGGCGAAAGCCUGAUCCAGCAAUGCCGCGUGUGUGAAGAAGGUCUUCGGAUUGUAAAGCACUUUAAGUUGGGAGGAAGGGCAGUAAGUUAAUACCUUGCUGUUUUGACGUUACCAACAGAAUAAGCACCGGCUAACUUCGUG